AGUGAACGCUGGCGGCAGGCCUAACACAUGCAAGUCGAACGGCAGCACAGGAGAGCUUGCUCUCUGGGUGGCGAGUGGCGGACGGGUGAGGAAUAUAUCGGAAUCUACCCUUUCGUGGGGGAUAACGUAGGGAAACUUACGCUAAUACCGCAUACGAACUGAGGUUGAAAGCGGCGGACCGCAAGGCGUCGCGCGGGUGGAUGAGCCGAUAUCCGAUUAGCUAGUUGGCGGGGUAAAGGCCCACCAAGGCGACGAUCGGUAGCUGGUCUGAGAGGAUGAUCAGCCACACUGGAACUGAGACACGGUCCAGACUCCUACGGGAGGCAGCAGUGGGGAAUAUUGGACAAUGGGCGCAAGCCUGAUCCAGCCAUGCCGCGUGUGUGAAGAAGGCCUUCGGGUUGUAAAGCACUUUUGUUGGGAAAGAAAAGCGGUCGGUUAAUACCCGGUCGUUCUGACGGUACCCAAAGAAUAAGCACCGGCUAACUUCGUGCCAGCCGCCGCCGUAAGAC
rnacentral:rRNA from 1 species